UGCUCCCCAGUACAAGAACCUCACCAUCACACAGUUGUCAUAUCUGUAUUAAAGCUCACAUGACUCUUGCACCUGGAGUAAACCAUUCUAACCUCUCAAAGAUCAGAGAUUGUAAUAGGAGGUCCUUUCGGUGGAGUAACGUCACAUCUGCCUUAUAAAGAGCAGCCUCAGACAUUCAGUAUGUCUGCUGCGGCUCAUUUCAUCUGAAUCAGUACAAUGGGUCCAAUACUCAUCACAUUUACAGUCUCGUCUUUCUGGCUUCAAGGUCUCUGCCAGGCUGUGACCCAGUACCCUGCAACCAGCUGGAGUUACGUGUCCAAAUCCGCAGAGAUGAACUGCAGCCACAACAAAGACGCUGGUCAUAACCAGAUGUACUGGUUCAGGCAGCGCCAUGGGGAGACCAUGACCCUCAUUGUCUUCACAGUUUAUGGAAUGGACCCAGACUACGGCAGGAGCCCUGAAGACAAAUAUUCAGCUGUCAGAGCGAACUUCUUACUGUGAAAAACGUGCAGCCUGAGGACAGCGCUGUGUAUUUCUGUGCAGUC